CGCGGGGUGGAGCAGCCUGGUAGCUCGUCGGGCUCAUAACCCGAAGGUCGUCGGUUCAAUUCCGGCCCCCGCAACCA
rnacentral:tRNA from 1 species